rnacentral:rRNA from 1 species
AUUGAACGCUGGCGGCAGGCCUAACACGUGCAAGUCGAGCGGAUGAAGGGAGCUUGCUCCUGGAUUCAGCGGCGGAUGGGUGAGUAAUGCCUAGGAAUCUGCCUGGUAGUGGGGGAUAACGUCCGGAAACGGGCGCUAAUACCGCAUACGUCCUGAGGGAGAAAGUGGGGGAUCUUCGGACCUCACGCUAUCAGAUGAGCCUAGGUCGGAUUAGCUAGUUGGUGGGGUAAAGGCCUACCAAGGCGACGAUCCGUAACUGGUCUGAGAGGAUGAUCAGUCACACUGGAACUGAGACACGGUCCAGACUCCUACGGGAGGCAGCAGUGGGGAAUAUUGGACAAUGGGCGAAAGCCUGAUCCAGCCAUGCCGCGUGUGUGAAGAAGGUCUUCGGAUUGUAAAGCACUUUAAGUUGGGAGGAAGGGCAGUAAGUUAAUACCUUGCUGUUUUGACGUUACCAACAGAAUAAGCACCGGCUAACUUCGUG